rnacentral:lncRNA from 1 species
ACCCACAAACACAAACUUGUUUCAUAAUUUAACUUACAAUUCACACAUGAUUGAGUCUUUUGUGGUGACUUCCCUUUUCAAAUCCAAAUGUCUUGACCCUUGUUAUCACUUUCUGAUUCAUUUUCAAUCAUAUUUUUAUUGGUAAACUUGUCCUUAUCAUUCUUGCCAUUGAUCUUCAAAAAUUCUUUUCAUUGUUGCCAUUAAUGAUCAACCUCUACUUCCAAUAUAAGGUGGCAAAAGAAAUCUUUCGAUCAUCAGAACAAUUUUGUACAUCAAAUAUCUUCUCUGUUUGCAUCAUCCAUUUUUCUACCACCAAUGAAAUUAGGUUCACCAUGCUUUCAUUGCGCUACUCUGAUUUA